rnacentral:rRNA from 1 species
AGUCGAGCGAGAAGUACUUCGGUACGAGUACAGCGGCGGACGGGUGAGUAACGCGUAGGAAUCUACCUAGUAGUGGGGGACAACUCGUGGAAACGCGAGCUAAUACCGCAUACGCCCUACGGGGGAAAGCGGGGGAUCUUCGGACCUCGUGCUAUUAGAUGAGCCUGCGUAAGAUUAGCUAGUUGGUGGGGUAAAGGCCUACCAAGGCGACGAUCUUUAGCUGGUCUGAGAGGAUGAUCAGCCACACCGGGACUGAGACACGGCCCGGACUCCUACGGGAGGCAGCAGUCGGGAAUAUUGCGCAAUGGGCGAAAGCCUGACGCAGCCAUGCCGCGUGUGUGAAGAAGGCCCUAGGGUUGUAAAGCACUUUCAAUUGGGAGGAAAAGCUAAUGGUUAAUAGCCAUUAGCCCUGACGUUACCUUUAGAAGAAGCACCGGCUAACUCCGUGCCAGCAGCCGCGGUAAUACGGAGGGUGCAAGCGUUAAUCGGAAUUACUGGGCGUAAAGCGCGCGUAGGCGGCUCUUUAAGUCGGAUGUGAAAGCCCCGGGCUCAACCUGGGAACUGCAUCCGAUACUGGGGAGCUAGAGUGUAGGAGAGGGAGGUAGAAUUCCAUGUGUAGCAGUGAAAUGCGUAGAUAUAUGGAGGAAUACCAGUGGCGAAGGCGGCCUCCUGGCUUAACACUGACGCUGAGGUGCGAAAGCGUGGGGAGCAAACGGGAUUAGAUACCCCGGUAGUCCACGCCGUAAACGAUGUCUACUAGCUGUAGGGGUACUUGAGACCUUUGUAGCGCAGCUAACGCACUAAGUAGACCGCCUGGGGAGUACGGCCGCA